rnacentral:rRNA from 1 species
CUCUUCACUGAGCAUGUGCUCGAUCCAUAACUAUUUAUCUUCUCUUGUGCACCUUUUGUAGUCUUUCAGAGCAAGUGAUAACUCUCGCAGCAAUGCGGUUUGGGGGACUUGGGCGUGAGCCCUUCCCCUGCGUUUGCUUCUUUGGAGGGCUAUGUUUUCAUAUACACUAUAAAGUUACAGAAUGUCUUUUAAAGAUUGUGCUAGUCGCAGUCAUUAAACCUAUACAACUUUCAGCAACGGAUCUCUUGGCUCUCCCAUCGAUGAAGAACGCAGCGAAAUGCGAUAAGUAAUGUGUAUUGCAGAAUUCAGUGAAUCAUCGAAUCUUUGAACGCACCUUGCGCCCUUUGGUAUUCCGAAGGGCAUGCCUGUUUGAGUGUCAUUAAAUUCUCAACCCAAAAAGCUUUUACGAGCUCUUUUGUGGCUCGGAUGUGGGGGUUUUUGCUGGCUUCCUUCAGUGGAUGGUCUGCUCCCCUUAAAUGCAUUAGUGGGAUCUCUUGUGGACCGUCACUUGGUGUGAUAAUUAUCUAUGCCAGUUGACUUUGAAGCAAAACUUAUGGGAACCCGCUCAUAACCGUCUUCGGACAACUUAUUGACAUUUUGACCUCAAAUCAGGUAGGACUACCCGCUGAACUUAAGCAUAUC